GACGAACCGUGCGAACGUUGUUCGGAUUCACUGGGCUUAAAGGGCGCGUAGGCGGGUCCUCAAGUCCGGGGUGAAAUCCUCUCGCUCAACGAGAGAACUGCCCCGGAUACUGGAGACCUCGAGGGAGGUAGGGGCAUGUGGAACUUCCGGUGGAGCGGUGAAAUGCGUAGAUAUCGGAAGGAACGCCGGUGGCGAAAGCGACGUGCUGGACCUUUUCUGACGCUGAGGCGCGAAAGCCAGGGGAGCAAACGGG
rnacentral:rRNA from 1 species